AGAGUUUGAUCCUGGCUCAGAUUGAACGCUGGCGGCAUGCCUUACACAUGCAAGUCGAACGGUAACAGGUCUUCGGAUGCUGACGAGUGGCGAACGGGUGAGUAAAGCAUCGGAACGUGCCCAGUCGUGGGGGAUAACGUAGCGAAAGCUACGCUAAUACCGCAUACGAUCUGUGGAUGAAAGCGGGGGACCGUAAGGCCUCGCGCGAUUGGAGCGGCCGAUGUCAGAUUAGGUAGUUGGUGGGGUAAAGGCUCACCAAGCCGACGAUCUGUAGCUGGUCUGAGAGGACGACCAGCCACACUGGGACUGAGACACGGCCCAGACUCCUACGGGAGGCAGCAGUGGGGAAUUUUGGACAAUGGGCGCAAGCCUGAUCCAGCAAUGCCGCGUGCAGGAUGAAGGCCUUCGGGUUGUAAACUGCUUUUGUACGGAGCGAAAAGGCUUCCACUAAUACUGGGGGCUCAUGACGGUACCGUAAGAAUAAGCACCGGCUAACUACGUGCCAGCAGCCGCGGUAAUACGUAGGGUGCAAGCGUUAAUCGGAAUUACUGGGCGUAAAGCGUGCGCAGGCGGUCUUGUAAGACAGGUGUGAAAUCCCCGGGCUUAACCUGGGAACUGCACUUGUGACUGCAAGGCUGGAGUACGGCAGAGGGGGAUGGAAUUCCGCGUGUAGCAGUGAAAUGCGUAGAUAUGCGGAGGAACACCGAUGGCGAAGGCAAUCCCCUGGGCCUGUACUGACGCUCAUGCACGAAAGCGUGGGGAGCAAACAGGAUUAGAUACCCCGGUAGUCC
rnacentral:rRNA from 1 species